AGUAUUGUUUGGUGUAGCUCUGCGAAAAAUGCUGGUGGUAUUUUGAUGGAGAUUGAAUUCAUCUUAAACAUUUUAAGUGUUGUGUUGUAACUUGGAUUCUGAGUCUGAUAUAUUUUUUAAAAACUGAUUUCUCAGUGAAACUCAUUAGUCUACUUUUAUAUGACACCUCAUUUCUAACAGACUCCAGGAAGAAUACACCAUCAUAGGUUUGGGAAGGAAGAAAUAUAUUGUGCAGAACUUUUCAUACCUCAGAAAACAGAAGGAACACAUAAAUUAGUUCUUGGAGGGGCCUCCAGGGGACGAUGAUGCACAAACUAGAGAUCUUGUUGCUCAACAUCAUCUGCUCACGCCCUCCCCCCUGCAGCUGGCUGAGCUCUUUGCAGACAGAGACAGGGACAAGAAUCAUCCGUCAGAAAGCUCCAGGCUCAUCGCAACAGCUUUUGCAUUUUUAUCUCAGCAAGGAACCUGUCCAACUUUACUUUCUCCACCCUUCUUAUGUCCGAGGGCUUGGUUUCCUCAGCCAGUUUCCUGUCUGCUCAGGGGGAGAUUUUCCUGAGAAGAGCCCACUGCCUUUCUACUGCUCGGCCAUGUUCCUGUUGCUUAUCUCAACACUGGGGAUAUUUGCCCUGCGCGACACCGGAGCCCAGUCAGUGACGCAGCCUGAUGUCCAUGUCACUGUCUCUGAAGGAGCCCCUCUGGAGCUGAGGUGCAACUAUUCCUCAAGUGGAACUCCUUAUCUCUUCUGGUACAUGCAGCACCCCAACCAAGGACUCCAGUUUCUACUGAAGUACUUUUCAGGGGACACCCUGGUUAAAGGCCUCAACGGUUUUGAGGCUGAAUUUAAGAACCAUGAAACCACCUUCCACCUGAGGAAAUCCCGAGCCCUUGGCAGCGAUGCAGCCAAGUACUUCUGUGCUGUGCGUGACACAGUGUCUGGGACUGCAGGGGGAGCUGAACACAAACCACCAUGGUAGGGGAGUUUUUGGAGACUGACGGUCUCUUCCUGUGGUAUUAUCAGAGAUCUCUUGCUGUAUGAUGCCAAAUGAGGCAAAUAGAACUGAGCAGACUCAGAUAUUUCUAUAUAAUUCUACAACUCCAUGUCUGAUAAACUUAAUUUAGCAGGUUUUUGGUCUUUGUAGAAACUACAUGAUAAUAAAUAGUAUUACAGAAUGAUGGAGAAGAUAGUGUUCUGAUCAUAUAAUACCAGGAUGCUUAAAGACUGGCCUUGAGGUUGACUGCCUACGAGGUUAACUAUAUGAGUUUUCAUUUAUCAUUUCUUCUGUCAGCCAACCCAGAAAACAAAACAUGAACUCCUCAUGUUCUUUCCCUGAAAAGUUUGCCUGCUUGUUUCUUUCAUCAUUCACAGAUCAUCUUCUUGGAAUUUUUUUCCCCCUAGAUCUUACUGUGUUGGUCAGAAUAUGUCAGAAUAUUAUCUUUGAGUGUCAAUUCCUUUAUUUAAGAGGGACUCUGAAAAAUUUUAAUGUAUUUAUUUACUUACUUACUUACUUAAUUUUAGGGGGUGGGGCAUGAACAGGAGAGGGGCAGAGAGAUGGAGAGACAGAAUGCUAAGCAGGCUCCAUAUUAUCAGUGCAGAGCCCAUUGCGGGGCUGGAACUCACAAAGUGUGAGAUCAUGACCUGAGUUGAAAUCAAGAGUUGGACAUUCAACCAACCCAGGCACCCCUUCUUUUAGUAAUUUAAAUUCUAUAAAUCUUCACCAGAAAUUUGUGGAUAUAAUCUCUUUUGCUGCUUCCAGCUAUGGACAUUUUUUUUUCUUCUUGCUUUUUCUCCUGUUCUUGUUUGAUUUCAUAGUUGGAAUAUUAGAGUUUGAAUCUUAUAUGUUAACAACAUUAUAAUUAAUGAUGUAGUAAUUUUAACAAUGCCAAACUCUGCUAGAAAUAUUGAUAGGAAUUGCAGUGAAUACUAGGUGUCACUGGACCCAGUAUAAACUUAUAACCCAGUAUAAAAUUGUUUUGUGUUAGGAUGGAAAGAACUGUGUAAGAAGUUUAAUGGCCCUUGUGUUCUUGAAGUCUUAGAGAUAACAAAUACUCUGCAAAAAGGGGAGAAAGAUAAAGAGGAAGCUUUCUAGCUGCUUCUUGGUUUAUUCUAUAAUGUGUGAAAAGUGCCCAGCAGCCCUCAAAAUAUAGAGAGACUAAAUAGAUCAUCACUAACGAUACAUCAGAAGAUCAAUGGUAAUUUUUAGGAUGUGGUGAUAUGGUUAUGUGUAAUAAAUGUGUUUGAGUGAUUGCUGGAAGGGUACAAGGAAAGUAAACGCUGGUGUUGGAGACAUAAAAUCUGGAAUAAGGAAUUUGUAUUCCUUUAAUUUCCUUCUCCUUCCUUCCUUCCCUUUUUACUUUUGGACCAUAAUCUCUCUACCUCUAUUUUCAGGUGACACUAUCAUCAGCUCAAGUACAUUGCCCAAAGGGACUGUGGUGGGAGCUUUAUUCAGACUAGUAGGAGAAGGAGCUUACUAAUGUUUUUGAUUCUGAACUCAAAGUGAGUUUGAAGAAAAAUAGGAUUUAUAUCAAGGACCCUGAGCAGUUGGGAGAUCAUACCCCCACCUUCCCAACCCUAACUCUACCUGAAAAAUCAAAGUACCCUGUCCUUCUCUCUCCCUUUCUGCUUUUAUUAUUAGUUAUUUAUUUAUAUGAUUGUGUAUUUUUUUAUGUUUAUUAAUUUUUGAGAGAAAGAGACAGAGCAUGAAUGGGGGUGGGGCAGAAAGGGAGGGAGACACAGAAUUCGAAGCAGGCUCCAGGCUCUGAGCUGUCAGCACAGAGCCUGAUGUGGAGCUUGAACUCAUGAGCCAUGAGAUCAUGACCUGAGCCGAAGUUGGAUGCUUAACCGACUGAGCCACCCAAGCGCCCCAGGUUACAUAUGAU